AUUGAACGCUGGCGGCAUGCCUUACACACGCAAGUCGAACGCGAAAGGGGGGCAACCCCCGAGUAGAGUGGCGGACGGGUGAGUAAUACAUCGGAACGUGCCCAGUAGUGGGGGACACCCUCGAGAAAUCGAGGCUAAUACCGCAUACGACCUACGGGUGAAAGCGGGGGACCGCAAGGCCUCGCGCUAUUGGAGCGGCCGAUGUCCGAUUAGCUAGUUGGUAGGGUAAAAGCCUACCAAGGCAACGAUCGGUAGCUGGUCUGAGAGGACGACCAGCCACACUGGGACUGAGACACGGCCCAGACUCCUACGGGAGGCAGCAGUGGGGAAUUUUGGACAAUGGGGGCAACCCUGAUCCAGCCAUGCCGCGUGCGGGAAGAAGGCCUUCGGGUUGUAAACCGCUUUCGGCCGGAACGAAAUCGCCGGGGAGAACAUCUCCGGUGGAUGACGGUACCGGAAGAAGAAGCACCGGCUAACUACGUGCCAGCCGCCGCAGUAAGAC
rnacentral:rRNA from 1 species